UAGAGAAGCACUUAACUGCAUAAGGAAUAGAUAUUUUUAUAUUGGAAUAUGGCAAACACAUGAUGCUUUAUACAAUUUGAGGACAAACAAACAGGAGGCGGAAUAGAGGAAUUCAGUUCUUCAGAAGAAAAAAAUGCUCUCCAUCUUCAUAGCAAAGUGAUAAGGAAUCAGAAAGAACAAUGCUGAAAUACAUAUGAUAAGAGGUCAUCCUGGAAAAGUGAGAAAGAGUGUGCAAAAAAUAACUACACCCAGAUGAAUGCAUAAAGCAUAGAAGAAGCACAAAGAAUAUAUUAGUAUAUGGAUUCUGCCUUUUUUAAAAGGAAAUAAAAUCUCAG
rnacentral:lncRNA from 1 species